GUAGGUGGCAAGCGUUGUCCGGAAUUAUUGGGCGUAAAGCGCACGCAGGCGGUUCUUUAAGUCUGAUGUGAAAGCCCACGGCUCAACCGUGGAGGGUCAUUGGAAACUGGAGAACUUGAGUACAGAAGAGGAAAGCGGAAUUCCACGUGUAGCGGUGAAAUGCGUAGAGAUGUGGAGGAACACAAGUGGCGAAGGCGGCUUUCUGGUCUGUAACUGACGCUGAGGCGCGAAAGCGUGGGGAGCAAACAGGGAUUAGAUACCCUGGUAGUCCACGCCGUAAACGAUGAGUGCUAAGUGUUAGGGGGGUUUCCGCCCCCUUAGUGCUGCAGCUAACGCAUUAAGCACUCCGCCUGGGGAGUACGGCCGCAAGGCUG
rnacentral:rRNA from 1 species